rnacentral:rRNA from 1 species
AAGCUCGUAGUUGAAUUUCGGGACCUGUGGGUUGGUCGUGCCUCCGGUACGUACUGGCUUUACCGGUUCCUCCCUUCUGAAGAACUACGAUGUCAUUAAUUUGGUGUCGUGGGGAAUCAGGACUGUUACUUUGAAAAAAUUAGAGUGUUUAAAGCAGGCUAAAGUUUGAAUAGAUUAGCAUGGAAUAACGAAAUAGGACGUUUGAUCUUAUUUUGUUGGCUUCUAAGAUCGACGUAAUGAUUAAUAGGGAUAGUUGGGGGCAUUAGUAUUCAAUUGUCAGAGGUGAAAUUCUUGGAUUUAUUGAAGACUAACUACUGCGAAAGCAUUUGCCUAGGAUGUUUUCAUUAAUCAAGAACGAAAGUUAGGGGAUCGAAGACGAUCAGAUACCGUCGUAGUCUUAACCAUAAACUAUGCCGACUAGGGAUCGGAUGAUGUUAAUUUUUUAAUGACUCAUUCGGCGCCUUACGGGAAACCAAAGUGUUUGGGUUCCGGGGGGAGUAUGGUCGCAAGGCUGAAACUUCAAGGAAUUGACGGAAGGGCACCACCAGGGGUGGAGCCUGCGGCUCAAUUUGACUCAACACGGGAAAA